rnacentral:rRNA from 1 species
CAAUCCAUGAGUAAAGCGGCGUACGGGUGAGUAACACGUGGGUAAUCUACCUCUUUGUGGGGAAUACCUCUGGGAAACCGGAGACAAUACCGCAUAAGCCUGAGAAGGGAAAGCAGCAAUGCGCAGAGAGAGGAGCCCGCGGUCGAUUAGCUAGUUGGUAGGGUAAUGGCCUACCAAGGCAAUGAUCGAUAGCCGGCCUGAGAGGGCACACGGCCACACUGGCACUGAAACACGGGCCAGACUCCUACGGGAGGCAGCAGUGGGGAAUCUUGCACAAUGGGGGCAACCCUGAUGCAGCGACGCCGCGUGAGCGAUGAAGCCCUUCGGGGUGUAAAGCUCUUUCGGCAGGAACGAUAAUGACGGUACCUGAAGAAGAAGCUGCGGCUAACUACGUGCCAGCAGCCGCGGUAAUACGUAGGCAGCAA